rnacentral:misc_RNA from 1 species
UCUUAUCACAAAACAAAAAUUGCAGGUGUUUUCGGGAGUUAACGCCUAAAAAUGCGGCUUACCAAGAUCUGGAAGAACCGAGCUCCUGGCGACCGCCACCUGAGCACGUAUUUUUGCUUUGCAGUCUUAAGGUUUGUCCUUGUUUUUGUGCCCCAACUGGGAUAUGUGCAUCCUGAUGAGUUUUUCCAAAGCGUAGAGGUAAUGACAGGUGACCACUUUCGGCUGGAGCACACUAGGACCUGGGAAUUCAACAACUCGAUGCCGGUGAGAAGCAUCACUCUGCCUUUCGCGUUGCUUCGAGUGCCCUGGAGUUUCUACGAGUUCAUUGCCAUCUACCUUCGCACCUGGUGGAACAUCGAUAUACUCGGCACUUAUGCCUAUGUAGUGUUUCCGCGGAUUAUCUACACCCUGAUCUCGUACAGCAAUGAUUGGUGCUUGUAUCGUAUUUGCCGGCUUUAUGGGAUGCGCUUCGAGAUCCGGCUACUGGCGCUGGGCAGCUCCUGGGUGUUGCUUGUCUUCGGAACACGCACCUUCUCCAACAGCCUCGAGAUGGCCAUGUGCUCCUGGCUUCUCUGUCUGGUGGCCGAGUGCAUGCUGCGCACUAAUACGGUGGUUUACAAAAAGGAGUUCCUCGAGGAGAAAUACGAAAAGGCGGAAUCCAUCAGCGAACGUGUACGCAUUUGGAAGUUAAAGAACGCUCUGCCGGCUCACAAUCUGCAGCACCUCCUGGCCAUGUCAACGAUAUGUGUGGCCGGCGUAUUUAAUCGUCCGACAUUCCUGCUUUUCGGAGCACCAAUGGUUUUCUUCUGGCUACUGCGUGGCAUGGGAACUCGGAGCGUUACGUUUCGGGACUUCAAUCUUCGCAUCGCACUCUUCUGCCUGUGUUCCCUUCCGGCUCUCAUUGUGUUCAUCUUCUGUGAUUCUUUGUAUUACCAGCACCUUACUGUAGGAGAACUCCACAUGAUGCAUCUGACCAUUGACAACUUUGUGUUUACGCCAUGGAACUUCAUCAAAGCGAAUCUGGACUCUGCACAGACGGCCAGUCAUGGAGUGCAUCCGUGCUAUGUGCAUUUAAUGGUGAACAUGCCAUUGCUUUUUAAUGUCCUAGCCUUGGCAUCGCUGGGAGCCUUUGCCCAGCUCCUCCUGCGCUUCUUCCAGGCAGAGUAUCAAGUGCUGCCCCGCUUCCAGAGCAUAGUGUCUCUUAUGUCCGGUGCCAUAUUCGUGCCGCUUUUCUUUCUGUCGCUGAUCAAUCACCAGGAACCUCGCUUUUUACUGCCCGUGACGCUUCCACUGCUGCUGCUUCACGCUCCUAAACUGGUGACCGGUUUCAGCGCCAAGUAUCCAUUCCAAAAGGAACACCCGCUGCUGCGCCGCUUUUACGAUGUAAUCCUCUCGAGCAAGGCCUCUGCCCCGUAUCUGCUAAAGAUCUGGUACGUGAGCAAUGUGGCGCUGACCCUCUUCUUCGGCUUCAUCCACCAAGCGGGGCUUUAUCCUCUAGCUGUGGAUAUGUCGCAUGUGGUGGCCACAAAGCCGGCGGCCACGCACAUCCACCUGAUGACCUCGCACAUGUACAGCUUGCCCUUGCACUUGGUCAACAUUCCGAGCUCCCGGGUGCUGCACUUCAACAUGCAGACCCACCAGCGUUAUCGCCGACAGCGGGAUUUCUAUUUGUACGAAUACGGGGGCCUUUCCUUGGAUUUUCUGAUGCAAAAGGUGAAACUUAUCAGUGGCAACUGCGAAGUGAAGUUGUCGGGUCCCAAUCGUCUGCGCUAUAAGCUGUACUUGGCCAUUCCUGCGUCUCUCAGUGGCGAGCUCCACGAGGCGCUGGAGCGCUCCAAUGCUAGCAGUUACCUGAAUUUCGAGCUACUCAACAUCUUCUAUCCGCACCUAUCAACGGAGGCGUUUCCCCGCCUGCAGGGAAGGCAUCCCUGUGACUUGGAUGCUCCCCACUGGACGGACGACGAUCUUCGAGGGACCUGCGCCGUGGAGCAGCCGCCGUCCUUCAGUGUCUCCUAUCUUACAAAGCAGUUCAGCUCUUUCGUCCAUCAACUUGGGCUGGCGCUCUACGAGAUCGAUGUGCGGCGCAAGAAACCGCGGUCAGUGGAACCAAAGACAGCCGCCCUGCCAGAAACUCCGGCGUAGGACUGGCCAUACACUAAUUCAAAGUGCCUUGAACCAAAGUUGUAGGCUAAUAUUAAUUUUCGGUCUAAUUUCAACUCUAGUCUUGUGACAUUCCUGCACAAACUUUACUUUAUGAAUACUCCUAGUCAUUAGCAAAUAACUAUGCAUAAUUGUACCUUAAGUUUUGACAAAUUCUCGGGUCUAUAUGACAUAAAUAAUUUAGGACAAUAAUGGAUUGGCAGGCGGAAAGGAAAUCCCACUAAAGGGGUGUCGCCGUCGAUCGAAGGGAAUGCUGGCAGAGAGUAAUCCAUUUGACACGGUGUUGGCCGGUAAUACCCGACAAACAUCUGAGGCGCGGCAUCCGCGUUCAUUGAACGUUACCGGGCAGAAAUCUCGUUGCGGACGCAAUUGUGUUCUAAUUUGGAUUUUGUAUUUGGGCUGCCUAAGCCGGAAACUUGUUUGGCAAUCGGUGGCAACAAUUGGCCUAUAAAAUGGCCAAGCCAAUUUGGAAACAGCAUCAGUCACUGACGAACCAACCAACCCAAACAACCAAACCAAUUCAAC